rnacentral:rRNA from 1 species
AAGUCGUAACAAGGUCUCCGUUGGUGAACCAGCGGAGGGAUCAUUACUGAGUACUACACUCUCUACCCUUUGUGAACUAUUAUACCUGUUGCUUCGGCGGCGCCCGCAAGGGUGCCCGCCGGUCUCAUCAGAAUCUCUGUUUUCGAACCCGACGAUACUUCUGAGUGUUCUUAGCGAACUGUCAAAACUUUUAACAACGGAUCUCUUGGCUCCAGCAUCGAUGAAGAACGCAGCGAAACGCGAUAUGUAAUGUGAAUUGCAGAAUUCAGUGAAUCACCGAAUCUUUGAACGCACAUGGCGCCUUCCAGUAUCCUGGGAGGCAUGCCUGUCCGAGCGUCGUUUCAACCCUCGAGCCCCUGUGGCCCGGCGUUGGGGAUCUGCCACGGCAGGCCCCUAAAACCAGUGGCGGACCCGAAGGGCCCUCUCCUUUGCGCAGUAGCAUUCGCCUCGCAUCGGGAGUCCUCGGCGUCCUGCCUCUAAACCCCCCACAAGCCCGCUUCGGCGGCACCAAGGUUGACCUCGGAUCAGGUAGGAAUACCCGCUGAACUUAA